rnacentral:tRNA from 1 species
GGAGGUGUAGCUUAGUGGCAAAGCACUUGCCUCGCAUGCACAAGGCCCUGGGUUCCAUCCCCAGAACCACUU